rnacentral:rRNA from 1 species
UACGGAGGGGGCUAGCGUUGUUCGGAAUUACUGGGCGUAAAGCGCACGUAGGCGGCUUUGUAAGUUAGAGGUGAAAGCCCGGGGCUCAACCCCGGAAUUGCCUUUAAGACUGCAUCGCUUGAAUCCGGGAGAGGUGAGUGGAAUUCCGAGUGUAGAGGUGAAAUUCGUAGAUAUUCGGAAGAACACCAGUGGCGAAGGCGGCUCACUGGACCGGUACUGACGCUGAGGAGCGAAAGCGUGGGGAGCAAACAGG